rnacentral:rRNA from 1 species
ACGGGAGGCAGCAGUGGGGAAUAUUGGGCAAUGGGCGAAGGCCUGACCCAGCAACGCCGCGUGAAGGAAGAAGGUCUUCGGAUUGUAAACUUCUUUUAUGAGGGACGAAGGACGUGACGGUACCUCAUGGAUAAGCCACGGCUAACUACGUGCCAGCAGCCGCGGUAAUACGUAGGUGGCAAGCGUUAUCCGGAUUUACUGGGUGUAAAGGGCGCGUAGGCGGGAGAGCAAGUCAGAUGUGAAAUCCAUGGGCUUAACCCAUGAACUGCAUUUGAAACUGUUCUUCUUGAGUGCUGGAGAGGUAGACGGAAUUCCUUGUGUAGCGGUGAAAUGCGUAGAUAUAAGGAAGAACACCAGUGGCGAAGGCGGUCUACUGGACAGUAACUGACGCUGAGGCGCGAAAGCGUGGGGAGCAAACAGGAUUAGAUACCCUGGUA